rnacentral:rRNA from 1 species
UACGAAGGGGGCUAGCGUUGCUCGGAAUGACUGGGCGUAAAGGGCGCGUAGGCGGUUUGUACAGUCAGGUGUGAAAUUCCCGGGCUCAACCUGGGGGCGGCACUUGAGACGUAGGAACUGGAGUGAGGAAGAGGGUCGUGGAAUUCCCAGUGUAGCGGUGAAAUGCGCAGAUAUCGGGAAGAACACCCGUGGCGAAGGCGGCUCUCUGGGACGGUACUGACGCUGAGACGCGAAAGCGUGGGGAGCGAACAGG